UGCAGAGCGAACUUUUCAUGAAAUUUGAGUCCUGAGGUGCCUCUUUGUCCUUUCAGACUCACUAUCUGCUCUUUCUGCCUUUUUAACUCCCCCGAGGGUAGAUGGGCAGGCUGCUCUCCUGUGACACAGUGCCAUUUUUUAGAGUUAAUUCUUAUGUCUUUUGCUUCCUUUCAGGAAAAUGUUCAUUGCUUGACAUUGUAACAGGCUCCUUAAAUACCUGUGAAAGGGUAAAGUUCACUAAAACAGAAUCCAUUGCUUCUGGUUGAAUAGCAAUAAUACUUGAUUCAAAAUCUUAACCUUCCAACUAUUAAAAUGUUAAAUGUAAACAGACUCUUAUGUUGCCUUAAAUAAAUGCCUUCCUUAAAAAACAAAAACAAAAACAACUGUUUCUCAAAUUAAUUUUCCCAGAUUCAUAGAUUUCUCUCCUUAACCUGAUAAUUGGCCAAACAGUAUUUACUCCUAAAUACUGUUUCUAAAUUCUUGUGUUCAGCGCACUGGGAUGCAUGAGGGUAUAUUUUUUAAGGCACAAAGAAAAUUUGUUUGCCUGUGAUCUCACUAAUAGGUGUUUAUUGCCCUCCUGGAGCCACAGUUGCUGUGUCAUCUCAAGGCUGGAAUUCUGGAUGAAGAGGAGGAGCUUUUUUGGGGUAGAACCUGAAGGAUGGGGAUGGGGCAUUCAUUUAUUCAUAAAAUUAUAUGCUCUCCUUGGACAUAUAGAAAAAAUCGUGUAUGGCAGAUGAACCUGACAGCAAUAACAUAAGUGUAUCCCAAGAAUGACACUGUAUGGCAGAUGAACCUGACAGCAACAAGUUAAGCAUACCCUGAGAAUGACCAUAUGGUCUAAGAAGAAUGCAUAUUCAGAGUUGGGAGCUACAGAAUCUGGGUGUGGCCAACCUGGAGAUUCAUUCCUUGUCUAUGAGGGACAUCUGAGCCUUCAGCCCAUCCUGUGGAAUGCAGGCAAUACAGGGGACCAAGGCCCAUUGUUUUAGAUUAAAUGAAGAUUUCCAAGUGGAGGUUGCUAAGUGAAAAUGCUGUAUAAAUUGCAUGCUUUUAAUAAGUGGUUGCAGUUCUCCUCUCCAGCCCACUGCCACUGGACCACCCCUGUAUGUAAGUUUCCUCAACAAACCCUAUGUAUUCUUCACUGGCUCUAGGUCUCUUCUUGGGCCUCUUAAACAUGGUGCGGUUUCUGCUGAAGUCAUAGGGGUCCAGCAUGUCAAAGCGUCAAAUCAGCAUUGUAAUCUAAAGACUUUUCUCACCCAAUCCUAUUCCACAUCCCUACUCCCACCUUGCUUUUUGCCUCUACAGUCACAAUAAAGCUCUCCCAGU
rnacentral:lncRNA from 10 species